UGGCGAACGGGUGAGUAACACGUGGGUGAUCUGCCCUGCACUCUGGGAUAAGCCUGGGAAACUGGGUCUAAUACCGGAUAGGACCAUGCUUUAGUGUGUGUGGUGGAAAGUUUUUUCGGUGUAGGAUGAGCCCGCGGCCUAUCAGCUUGUUGGUGGGGUAAUGGCCUACCAAGGCGGCGACGGGUAGCCGGACUGAUAGGUUGGUCGGCCACAUUGGGACUGAGAUACGGCCCAG
rnacentral:rRNA from 1 species